AUGACAAGUUUCAAACUAGUAAAGUAUAUCCCUAGGAUAAGGAAGAAGAAAAGUGGGCUAAGGAAACUCGCAAGGAAAGUUCCAACCGAUCUUCUACUUAAGUUCGAGAGAGUUUUCAAAGCACAAAAACGUAUCUGUCUGUUUUCAAAGCACAAAGAGUUCUUGACGAGAUUCGCUGGCGUUACUACGAGGAAACUGUUAUGA
rnacentral:rRNA from 1 species